GGGAUGAGAUGCAGUCUGAAGUACUUUCACUUUGCAUUUCCUGGGCGGGUGGGUAUCCAGUUUCCAAAGUACUAGCUGUUGAAGAUACUAUCUUUGGAUAUCUUUGUCAAACAUUAGGUGACUGUAUCUGUGUGAGUUUUUUUUCUGGGGUCUCUAUUCCAUUCCAUUGGUCUACAUGUCUCCUUUUGUACCAGUACCCACAGUUUGUUACUAUGGUUCAAUAGUGUUAUUUGAGCCUAGGUAUUUGUAAUUUUUCUAGUAUUUUUUGUCUACUUAUGAUUAAUUUGCUAUUAGGGAUCUUUUGUAUUUUCAUACAAAUUUCAGGGUUCCUUUAUCUAGUUCUUUGAAUCACUGGAAUUUUGAUGGAGAUUUUUGAAUCCAUCGAGCACUUUUCGUAAGACAGCUGUUUCACUAUUUUCAAUUAACCUAUGAAC
rnacentral:lncRNA from 1 species